UGCCUGUGACCUUAAUAAGGGUUUUGGCAACUUCAAAAAGAGUAUUUGAGAAUUAGAAGCAAGGUUAUAAAUUUUAGGAUUUGAAAUAUAAAUUGUAUAUACAAAUUAGAGGAUUUGGAGUCAGGAAGAAGAAGUUAUAGCCGUUUGAAGUUAAGGUAUUAAUUUAAGAUAUAAUGUUACACUUUUGAGGAUAUGAAGAGAUGUACGGUACCUUUUGAAGAUCAAAAGAUGGAACUGGAAUGGUAAUUUUAAGGCCUACAGUUUUUAUGAAAGAAUUGUUUCUUUUGAAAUUCAUAUAUAGGAAUUUUAGGGAGUUGAAGAUAGUGCUUCCAAAUCAGAGGCAGUAAGUUAGUGAUUUUAUUCAUAGUAAUGGUUGGAGCCAGAUCUUUAUUUUUUGGACAAAGUUUUAGCUCAAACCUUUUGAAAAAGAUAGAUUAUUGUAUUAAAAAGUCAUACAUACAAAUUUUGUGGCAUUUAAGUACUUAAUUUGUGAGAUGUGA
rnacentral:lncRNA from 1 species